GACGAACGCUGGCGGCGUGCUUAACACAUGCAAGUCGAGCGAGGCCCUCCUUCGGGAGGUGUCCUAGCGGCGAACGGGUGAGUAACACGUGGGCAACCUACCCUCAGCUCUGGGGAUAACCCCGGGAACCGGGGCUAAUACCGGAUAUGACACCGACGGACAUCCGUGGGUGUGGAAAGUUCUUCGGCUGAGGAUGGGCCCGCGGCCUAUCAGCUAGUUGGUGGGGUGACAGCCCACCAAGGCGACGACGGGUAGCCGGCCUGAGAGGGCGAUCGGCCACACUGGGACUGAGACACGGCCCAGACUCCUACGGGAGGCAGCAGUGGGGAAGUCUUGCGCAAUGGGCGAAAGCCUGACGCAGCGACGCCGCGUGAGGGAUGACGGCCU
rnacentral:rRNA from 1 species